UGUAUAAUGGGUCAGCGACUUAUAUUCUGUAGCAAGGUUAACCGAAUAGGGGAGCCGAAGGGAAACCGAGUCUUAACUGGGCGUUAAGUUGCAGGGUAUAGACCCGAAACCCGGUGAUCUAGCCAUGGGCAGGUUGAAGGUUGGGUAACACUAACUGGAGGACCGAACCGACUAAUGUUGAAAAAUUAGCGGAUGACUUGUGGCUGGGGGUGAAAGGCCAAUCAAACCGGGAGAUAGCUGGUUCUCCCCGAAAGCUAUUUAGGUAGCGCCUCGUGAAUUCAUCUCCGGGGGUAGAGCACUGUUUCGGCAAGGGGGUCAUCCCGACUUACCAACCCGAUGCAAACUGCGAAUACCGGAGAAUGUUAUCACGGGAGACACACGGCGGGUGCUAACGUCCGUCGUGAAGAGGGAAACAACCCAGACCGCCAGCUAAGGUCCCAAAGUCAUGGUUAAGUGGGAAACGAUGUGGGAAGGCCCAGACAGCCAGGAUGUUGGCUUAGAAGCAGCCAUCAUUUAAAGAAAGCGUAAUAGCUCACUGGUCGAGUCGGCCUGCGCGGAAGAUGUAACGGGGCUAAACCAUGCACCGAAGCUGCGGCAGCGACGCUUAUGCGUUGUUGGGUAGGGGAGCGUUCUGUAAGCCUGUGAAGGUGUGCUGUGAGGCAUGCUGGAGGUAUCAGAAGUGCGAAUGCUGACAUAAGUAACGAUAAAGCGGGUGAAAAGCCCGCUCGCCGGAAGACCAAGGGUUCCUGUCCAACGUUAAUCGGGGCAGGGUGAGUCGACCCCUAAGGCGAGGCCGAAAGGCGUAGUCGAUGGGAAACAGGUUAAUAUUCCUGUACUUGGUGUUACUGCGAAGGGGGGACGGAGAAGGCUAUGUUGGCCGGGCGACGGUUGUCCCGGUUUAAGCGUGUAGGCUGGUUUUCCAGGCAAAUCCGGAAAACCAAGGCUGAGGCGUGAUGACGAGGCACUACGGUGCUGAAGCGACAAAUGCCCUGCUUCCAGGAAAAGCCUCUAAGCAUCAGGUAACAUCAAAUCGUACCCCAAACCGACACAGGUGGUCAGGUAGAGAAUACCAAGGCGCUUGAGAGAACUCGGGUGAAGGAACUAGGCAAAAUGGUGCCGUAACUUCGGGAGAAGGCACGCUGAUAUGUAGGUGAAGCGACUUGCUCGUGGAGCUGAAAUCAGUCGAAGAUACCAGCUGGCUGCAACUGUUUAUUAAAAACACAGCACUGUGCAAACACGAAAGUGGACGUAUACGGUGUGACGCCUGCCCGGUGCCGGAAGGUUAAUUGAUGGGGUUAGCGGUAACGCGAAGCUCUUGAUCGAAGCCCCGGUAAACGGCGGCCGUAACUAUAACGGUCCUAAGGUAGCGAAAUUCCUUGUCGGGUAAGUUCCGACCUGCACGAAUGGCGUAAUGAUGGCCAGGCUGUCUCCACCCGAGACUCAGUGAAAUUGAACUCGCUGUGAAGAUGCAGUGUACCCGCGGCAAGACGGAAAGACCCCGUGAACCUUUACUAUAGCUUGACACUGAACAUUGAGCCUUGAUGUGUAGGAUAGGUGGGAGGCUUUGAAGUGUGGACGCCAGUCUGCAUGGAGCCGACCUUGAAAUACCACCCUUUAAUGUUUGAUGUUCUAACGUGGGCCCCUAAUCGGGGUUGCGGACAGUGUCUGGUGGGUAGUUUGACUGGGGCGGUCUCCUCCUAAAGAGUAACGGAGGAGCACGAAGGUUGGCUAAUCCUGGUCGGACAUCAGGAGGUUAGUGCAAUGGCAUAAGCCAGCUUGACUGCGAGCGUGACGGCGCGAGCAGGUGCGAAAGCAGGUCAUAGUGAUCCGGUGGUUCUGAAUGGAAGGGCCAUCGCUCAACGGAUAAAAGGUACUCCGGGGAUAACAGGCUGAUACCGCCCAAGAGUUCAUAUCGACGGCGGUGUUUGGCACCUCGAUGUCGGCUCAUCACAUCCUGGGGCUGAAGUAGGUCCCAAGGGUAUGGCUGUUCGCCAUUUAAAGUGGUACGCGAGCUGGGUUUAGAACGUCGUGAGACAGUUCGGUCCCUAUCUGCCGUGGGCGCUGGAGAACUGAGGGGGGCUGCUCCUAGUACGAGAGGACCGGAGUGGACGCAUCAC
rnacentral:rRNA from 1 species